rnacentral:tRNA from 1 species
GGGGGCAUAGCUCAGUGGUAGAGCGCGUGCUUAGCAUGCACGAGGCCCUGGGUUCGAUCCCCAGUGCCUCCA